CGCCCCGCGUCGCCCCGCGUCGUCCCCGCCUUGCGCUGCCCAGGUGACGCCCCGGCUGGUGGUGUCAGGCUCUCCCUCUCCCAAGCCCACUCAUUUAUUUCAAUGUCUCUCUUUUUUCAAUUGAGCUCUUUCUAUGGACGAAUACAGAAUAAAAGACGAGCAUCUGGAGUUUAUUUCUCAAAAGGAAACAGCAGUGUGUUGCUCUCUGACACCUCGCUGUGGACAUCGGGAUUCGAGAUUUCUGGUGGCUUUGAAAUAAAUUGAUUUUUGCUUUUCCCACGUAAAUCUGUGAGUUUAAGUAUUUUAUGAAUCAGCCAGAUGAAUACAUUCUCGAACCAGAACCGACCAAAGAGUUAAGAGAUUUUUAAUCUGUCAACUGAAUCUGAAGAAGAGGAAGUCAUUAUUGCUAUAAUUGGAAUAACGGAGCAUUGACCAACAGCAAAGGAUCAAAACCACCUGCAUGAACUCAAGAAUACGGAACUAUGGCUAAGGGAGUAUCAGAAUUGUUUGGGAUACCACUCACACAUGAAAACCCUGCCAUAAUGCUUUAUCAGAGCUGUCCAAAUGUGGAGGCUGCGUUGGGAAAUGGGAAACUUGAUCAUGGUACAUUUUCAAGUAGAGUUG